UACAGAGACUGCAAGCGUUAUUCGGAUUCACUGGGCGUAAAGGGCGCGUAGGCGGCCACGCACGUCCGUUGUGAAAUCGCCCGGCUCAACUGGGCGGGGUCAGCGGAUACGGUGUGGCUAGAGCAAGCUAGGGGGCAAUGGAAUUCCCGGUGUAGUGGUGGAAUGCGUAGAUAUCGGGAGGAACACCAGUGGCGAAGGCGGUUGCCUGGAGCUUUGCUGACGCUGAUGCGCGAAAGCGUGGGGAGCGAUCCGG
rnacentral:rRNA from 1 species